rnacentral:rRNA from 1 species
UACGUAGGGUGCAAGCGUUAAUCGGAAUUACCGGGCGUAAAGCGUGCGCAGGCGGUUCUAUAAGACAGAUGUGAAAUCCCCGGGCUCAACCUGGGAACUGCAUUUGUGACUGUAGAGCUGGAGUGCGGCAGAGGGGGAUGGAAUUCCGCGUGUAGCAGUGAAAUGCGUAGAUAUGCGGAGGAACACCGAUGGCGAAGGCAAUCCCCUGGGCCUGCACUGACGCUCAUGCACGAAAGCGUGGGGAGCAAACAGG